UACGAGGGGGGCAAGCGUUGUUCGGAAUUAUUGGGCGUAAAGGGUGCGUAGGCGGUCUGACAAGUCUGAUGUGAAAUCUAUGGGCUCAACCCAUAGUCUGCAUCGGAAACUGCGGGCUUGAGUAUGGGAGAGGUGAGUGGAAUUUCCGUGUGAGCGGUGAAAUGCGUAGAUAUCAGGAGGAACACCUGUGGCGAAAGCGGCUCACUGGACCAUAACUGACGCUGGAUGCACGGAAAAGCUAGGGGAGCAAACAGG
rnacentral:rRNA from 1 species